rfam:Trichobilharzia regenti genome assembly, scaffold: TRE_scaffold0001912
GUGCUGAUGAAGAGUCCCAAACUACUGGGACGAAACAGCUGUCCAGUAC